UACGUAGGGUGCAAGCGUUGUCCGGAAUUAUUGGGCGUAAAGAGCUCGUAGGCGGUUCGUCGCGUCGGCUGUGAAAACCCGGAGCUCAACUCCGGGCCUGCAGUCGAUACGGGCGGACUUGAGUGUUGCAGGGGAGACUGGAAUUCCUGGUGUAGCGGUGAAAUGCGCAGAUAUCAGGAGGAACACCGGUGGCGAAGGCGGGUCUCUGGACAGCUACUGACGCUGAGGAGCGAAAGCGUGGGGAGCGAACAGG
rnacentral:rRNA from 1 species